GGUGCCCCCAUUGCUUUAUUAAAACAUCAAUCCUGCAGCCUUCAACUAAAAUACAACAACUUACAUAAAAUUAAUUUGUGGUCAAUUGUCUUGACUUUGAGCAUAUCUAUGACUUUGAGCUAACUAAAAGCAUCUAAGUGCAUUAAUAUAAAGGAAUAAAAUAUUUCAGACAUAGUGUAAACAGAGUGACAGGUAAAAGAUGUAAAUGACUGAAGUCAUUUUUCUGUGUAUACUGUAGGAACUUCAAACGAGCUAUCAUACAGCUAUUAUAAUUAUUUUACUUGUGUAAAAACAAGACGAACUGUCAGCUCCCAUCCUCGCUUGACCAUGGCCUUAAGACUCAGCUGACUGUUCGUCUCGACAGAUGAAUGAAAAAUUUUUCAGUUUCACAUCUUUCACCAAAAGCUAUAUUACAUCGUGAGUGCACUGUGUAUUAACAUAACUCAUAAGUACAUUUCUUUUUUAUAAUAUUGUUUUAUAUAUAUUUAUAUAUGUGACGUAAUAAUUUUAUAUAAUCUAGAUUAUAUAUAUCCGCUAUAUAUAUAUGUAUUUAACGAGGAGGCACCCAUACCCUCGAUACUUUGUGCCCUCUACGAUAUGUGCACCCGGGGUUGGUGAAAGGUUGUUUGCAUAGAGUGCAUUGCAUGCUGGGAUACAUAUAUGUUUUACAACCCCGUGUUGUUUGUAUUAUUGGCUAAAAUGAAGUAACGGUGUAACAAAAUGCUAGGACUGGACAGAGUUUUGAUCAAGUCCAAGGACUGAAUGAAGUUUUGAUCAAGUCCUAGAACUGGAUGAAGUUUUGAUCAAGUCCUAGGACUGGAUGAAGUUUUGAUCAAGUCCUAGAACUGGAUGAAGUAUUGAUCAAAUCCUAGGACUGGAUGAAGUUUUGAUCAAGUCCUAGGACUGGAUGAAGUAUUGAUCAAAUCCUAGGACUGGAUGAAGUUUUGAUCAAGUCCUAGGACUGGAUGAAGUUUUGAUCAAGUCCUAGGACUGGAUGAAGUUUGAUCAAGUCCUAGGACUGGAUGAAGUUUUGAUCAAGUGCUAGGACUGGAUGAAGUUUGAUCAAGUCCUAGGACUGGA